AGCGUCCGUAGCUGGCCGUGAAAGUUCGUCGGGAAAUCCAUCCGCUCAACGGAUGGGCGUCCGGCGAAAACUUCACGGCUUGGGACCGGAAGGCUCGAGGGGUACGUCCGGGGUAGGAGUGAAAUCCUGUAAUCCUGGACGGACCGCCGAUGGCGAAAGCACCUCGAGAAGACGGAUCCGACAGUGAGGGACGAAAGCUAGGGUCUCGAACCGGAUUAGAUACCCGGGUAGUCCUAGCCGUAAACAAUGUUCACUAGGUGUGGCACAGGCUACGAGCCUGUGCUGUGCCGUAGGGAAGCCGAGAAGUGAACCGCCUGGGAAGUACGUCCGCAAGGAUGAAACUUAAAGGAAUUGGCGGGGGAGCACUACAACCGGAGGAGCCUGCGGUUUAAUUGGACUCAACGCCGGACAUCUCACCAGCUCCGACUACAGUAAUGACGGUCAGGUUGAUGACCUCGCCACGAGCUGUAGAGAGGAGGUGCAUGGCCGCCGUCAGCUCGUACCGUGAGGCGUCCUGUUAAGUCAGGCAACGAGCGAGACCCGCACUCUUAAUUGCCAGCAGCAGUUCCGACUGGCUGGGUACAUUAGGAGGACUGCCAGUGCCAAACUGGAGGAAGGAACGGGCAACGGUAGGUCAGUAUGCCCCGAAUGAGCUGGGCUACACGCGGGCUACAAUGGCCGAAACAAUGGGUUGCAACCCCGAAAGGGAACGCUAAUCUCCGAAAUUCGGUCGUAGUUCGGAUUGAGGGCUGAAACUCGCCCUCAUGAAGCUGGAUUCGGUAGUA
rnacentral:rRNA from 1 species